UUUUGCAGAAUGAGAGUGUGAGUCUAAAGUCCUACUUUAUAUAACUUAGAACCAUAAAGCUAGACGACAGAAACAGUGAGAAGUACGAAUUCACUAGGGGUGGAGCAUGUAUUCCAAAAGAGUGAUUC
rnacentral:lncRNA from 1 species